rnacentral:lncRNA from 1 species
AGUAAUAUUUUAUCUGGGGCUCUCAGAACCCAGGAAACAGAAAUAUAUGUAACCGGGUGGCACUCCUGGCAGUUCCUUUCCUCGGUGRCAUUUCCAAAGGCCUGGCAAAGCGGGAGAAAACAAGAUGCUUCUCUUGUAUUGACUGGAAUUGCUGCUGUGUUCCUUGGGCAUCRUGUUGUCAACGUGGCCAGCGGCAUUUUAUUGAAUGGAGGUGCCCACAGAGUCRCUCACCUGGACUUCGCAGGAGACAUUUUGCAGAUGUAGAGAGGGAUGGCAAUACUUUGUAAAACCUUUGGCAUGACAGCAGCCCAAAAGAAGAAAAGAUGCUACCAUCCAGCAGGACGACUCUGAAUCUAGCGCCUACCAAUGCUUUAACCCUUCAGUGCCCAGAGCAUCACAGUCAUGAAGGCCAGGAGGAUAUUGCACAUGUCAUACCCCGCUCACCCCUUCCGGUCUUGACUCUGCAGCACAGGGGUGGGGGGCCCAGGCUGGGCUGCRUCUCUCAGGACGGCACCUGCUCGCCCUCCUCCCCAGCAGCCGCCRCGUUUUGGAGGUGCUGCCUGCGGAGCCAUGAGCUCCGGUGUCCCGGGGGUACAGCGGGCCGCAGGGAUGUUGUGCAGACCCCGUUUGCGCUGGUGCCGCUGGCGUGGAGGCUGCCAGCGGGAGCGAGCCCAGCCUCUCCUCGCCUCUGCCGGGAGGGCUGUGGAGGCAGGAGGAUGGCAGGCAGCUCGGCUCGUUGCACAAGCAGCGACCGCGGCAGCCUUCCCCUGCAUCGCCUUCGUGUUUUGGGGAUGGGAGGUGAGGUGGAGAGCAGGAGGCUGGCGAGCCGGGCCUUCCUGGCGUUGGCAAAAAACCAGCCCCACGCAGUUUGGGUUUGGCUGGGAAGGAGGGAGGGAAAGCGCAAGGACGCUGGCAUUGCCAGGCGAAUUGGCACGCGGUGGUUUAAGCCAUGAAUAAAUAAAUGCUGCAUUUGCAUGUCCCUGAGUCUCUCCACUACAUCUAGGCUCAGGAGCUGCCCUGGAGAUUGAAAAGCGAGGGAAAUGUUUUUUGGGGUUUUUUUUUGGAAAGCAGAGCAAUAUUUGGCUGCAGAGAGAUGCUAAGGGCUAUUUUGGUGGGUUCACCAUCCAGACAUGGCAAACAAACCUUCGC